UGCCAAGUUGGUUUUAGCGGCGACGGCACAACUUGUGAUGAUAUCAGAACAUGCAUUUUGGGACCACCAGGAACAGAAUUUUGGUUCAGCACAAACGAUGGUACAAAAUGUUUGAAUUAUUUCACACCUAAUGGCAACACUGGAAUCACCUUUGCCGCCGCCAGUACUUUUUGUUCACAGCAAGCGACGGGGGCCACUCUUGCCAUUAUACUAAAUGAAGACGAGCAGGCCAAGGCAGAAAUUCUUAUUCCAACCAGCUCAUCGUUAAUCCUGCACUGGAUAGGACUUGAGAAGUUCACCACCGGUAGCUGGCAAUGGACAGAUGGCACGUCUUUAGGAUACAUAAACUGGGAUGGAAGUGGAGGGGGAACUGAUCCAACCAAUGCCGCUAAGAGCUGUGGGGCCAUUAACACUAAAAAUUUUCCUCUUGUUAAGUGGAAAGACCAAACCUGCGAUGCCAG